ensembl:lncRNA
GAGAGAACAUGGGAGAAAGAGGUCAGAGAGCAUGGAAGAGAGAGAACAUGGAAGAAAGAGAGAGAAAGAGGUCAGAGCAUGGAAGAGAGAAAGAGAUUGAUGAGGGAGAGAGAGAACAUGGGAGAAAGAGGUCAGAGAGCAUGGAAGAGAGAGAAAGAGAUGAGAGAGGGAGAACAUGGGAGAAAGAGAGAGAAAGAGGUCAGAGCAUGGAAGAGAGAAAGAGAUUGUUGAGAGCGAGAGCGAGAGAGAGGGAUGUCAAAAAGGCUCAGAUCCUUCCAUUUAUUUUCCCUCUGUGUGCCUUUUCAGACCACACACUCACUGAUCAUUUCUCCGCCAGAUUGUCGACAGCAAGUUGAUUUACUCUUCUCAGAAAUAGAGCACAAAAAUUGACAGAGGCUUAAGAUUUAAAAAAGAGCUUAACUCACAACACAGACAUACUGAACAAAAGAGUGAGAUAGGAAGUAAAAAAGAGAGGUAGAGAGGGGCAGGUUGACAGAUGAAGAGGAAGGUGAGUAAGGAUGCUCCUCUUGGUGUGUUUGUGUCACCUGUUUGAUUUCUCAUUAGUGUGUGUGUGUGUGAUCUCAUUUCAGCUUUAAACUAAACAGUUAGUUUGAUUCUGUGAUAAUAGUGGUGUGUGUUUCAAUUGUCUGUCUCUCUUUUUCUCUUCCUGCUUUUCCAUUUCUCCACUUUUCCCCUGAUUGUGCACUUCUUACUUUUACACAUUUCUGGUUGUAAUACACUGGCUCACCCUCUGUCUGCUCUCCUCUCCCCUACCCUCUCUGCUCUCCUCUCCCCUACCCUCUCUGCUCUCCCCUACCCUUUCUGCUCUCCUCUACCCUUUCCCCUCUCCUCUCCCCUACCCUCUCUGCUCUCCUCUACCCUUUCCCCUCUCCCCUAACCUCUCUGCUCUCCUCUACCCUCUCUGCUCUCCUCUACCCUUUCCCCUCUCCUCUCCCCUACCCUCUCUGCUCUCCCCCUACCCUCUCUGCUCUCCCCUACCCUCUUUGCUCUCCCCUACCCUCUCUGCUCUCCUCUACCCUUUCCCCUCUCCUCUCCCCUACCCUCUCUGCUCUCCUCUCCCCUACUCUCCCCUACACUCUCUGCUCUCCUCUACCCGCUCUGCUCUCCCCUACCCACUCUGCUCUCCCCUACCCUCUCUGCUCUCCCCUACCCUCUCUGCUCUCCUCUACCCUUUCCCCUCUCCUCUCCCCUACCCUCUCU